rnacentral:rRNA from 1 species
AUUGAACGCUGGCGGCAUGCCUUACACAUGCAAGUCGAACGGCAGCACGGGUGCUUACACCUGGUGGCGAGUGGCGAACGGGUGAGUAAUACAUCGGAACAUGUCCUGUAGUGGGGGAUAGCCCGGCGAAAGCCGGAUUAAUACCGCAUACGAUCUACGGAUGACAGCGGGGGACCUUCGGGCCUCGCGCUAUAGGGUUGGCCGAUGGCUGAUUAGCUGGUUGGUGGGGUAAAGGCCUACCAAGGCGACUAUCAGUAGCUGGUCUGAGAGGACGACCAGCCACACUGGGACUGAGACACGGCCCAGACUCCUACGGGAGGCAGCAGUGGGGAAUUUUGGACAAUGGGCGAAAGCCUGAUCCAGCAAUGCCGCGUGUGUGAAGAAGGCCUUCGGGUUGUAAAGAACUUUUGUCCGGAAAGAAAUCCUUGGCCCUAAUACGGUCGGGGGAUGACGGUACCGGAAGAAUAAGCACCGGCUAACUACGUG